UCCGCGGUAGCUCAGCGGUAGAGCGGGCGGCUGUUAACCGCUAGGUCACAGGUUCGAAUCCUGUCCGCGGAGCCA
rnacentral:tRNA from 1 species